rnacentral:rRNA from 1 species
UACAGAGGGUGCAAGCGUUAAUCGGAAUUACUGGGCGUAAAGGGCGCGUAGGUGGGAAGAUAAGUCAAAUGUGAAAGCCCCGGGCUUAACCUGGGAACUGCAUGUGAAACUGUUUUUCUAGAGUGAAGUAGAGGGUAGUGGAAUUUCCGGUGUAGCGGUGAAAUGCGUAGAUAUCGGAAGGAACACCAGUGGCGAAGGCGGCUACCUGGACUUUAACUGACACUGAGGCGCGAAAGCGUGGGGAGCGAACAGG